CGCUACGGCUCUCCGUUAAAAAUUUACUACGUUUCUGGUAUUGAGACUAUAUUGUGUUUACACUAUAACGGAGUGGUUUGCCGUAGCGUACUAACUACGGAAAUCAAUUUCGUUAAAAAUUCACUACGGUUCUUAGUAUUGUGUUUACACUAUAAAGCCUGGUUUACAUAUGCCUGCGGUAUGCCUGCGACUGUAUCAUUAUGCCUCUACUUGCCGCCGAAAUACCGGCAAAGUUGAACUCAAGUCAACUUUCCUGGCCUACCGCCGAUGUAACUGUGGCACUGGAGGCAAUCGGUGAACAAAUAUUCAUAUAAUUCACGUUUUAAGCUACCACCGGUAUCGUCGCCGGUACGUCGCAGGCAUAUGUGUGAACCAGGCUUUACGGAGUGGUUUGCCGUAGCGUAUUAACUACGGACCACUACGUUUGGCACUCCGGAUGCAAAUCACUACGCUACGGUAAAUUUGCCGUAGCGUAGUAGUGUAAACGCGGCCUUACAUGCUUAUUAUUUGCGACGUAGUUCGGCUAUUAUGCCUAUUAACUGGACUGAAAAGUUUUAUUUCGCGCAGGAAAUAUUUUUCCUUGGGAAAAAUGCGCACAAAUGUUAUGCGCAAAAAUUUAUGGCUGACCAGGGGAUCCGGUGAUCAGAAGGCGUUUUUGUUAAAUAGAAAGAUGAGAAAUCUGCUUAGGGGUCUUGGUUAACAGAGGCAUUUCGGGCAGGUUCUUCUGAAAUUAUUCGCAGUUAUUAUUUACAUUUUGAGGAAUUUUGCGCUGAUUUUGCCCAGGAAAUCGAGUUCCUCCGAAGCCAAAACUUUGCCGUCUGGGGGCGAUUAGUAUGUACACAGAAUAAUUUCAACCACAGAAUAGUGAUGUAAAACCAUUAGUAGAUGGAGCCAGGGUUGGUAACUUUCUGAAUAAAUAAGC